GACGAACGCUGGCGGCGUGCUUAACACAUGCAAGUCGAACGGAAAGGCCCUGCUUUUGUGGGGUGCUCGAGUGGCGAACGGGUGAGUAACACGUGAGUAACCUGCCCUUGACUUUGGGAUAACCUCAGGAAACUGGGGCUAAUACCGGAUAGGAGCUCCUGCUGCAUGGUGGGGGUUGGAAAGUUUCGGCGGUUGGGGAUGGACUCGCGGCUUAUCAGCUUGUUGGUGGGGUAGUGGCUUACCAAGGCUUUGACGGGUAGCCGGCCUGAGAGGGUGACCGGCCACAUUGGGACUGAGAUACGGCCCAGACUCCUACGGGAGGCAGCAGUGGGGAAUAUUGCACAAUGGGCGGAAGCCUGAUGCAGCAACGCCGCGUGCGGGAUGACGGCCUUCGGGUUGUAAACCGCUUUCGCCUGUGACGAAGCGUGAGUGACGGUAAUGGGUAAAGAAGCACCGGCUAACUACGUGCCAGCAGCCGCGGUGAUACGUAGGGUGCGAGCGUUGUCCGGAUUUAUUGGGCGUAAAGGGCUCGUAGGUGGUUGAUCGCGUCGGAAGUGUAAUCUUGGGGCUUAACCCUGAGCGUGCUUUCGAUACGGGUUGACUUGAGGAAGGUAGGGGAGAAUGGAAUUCCUGGUGGAGCGGUGGAAUGCGCAGAUAUCAGGAGGAACACCAGUGGCGAAGGCGGUUCUCUGGGCCUUUCCUGACGCUGAGGAGCGAAAGCGUGGGGAGCGAACAGGCUUAGAUACCCUGGUAGUCCACGCUGUAAACGGUGGGUACUAGGUGUGGGGUCCAUUCCACGGGUUCCGUGCCGUAGCUAACGCUUUAAGUACCCCGCCUGGGGAGUACGGCCGCAAGGCUAAAACUCAAAGGGAUUGACGGGGCCCCGCACAAGCGGCGGAGCAUGCGGAUUAAUUCGAUGCAACGCGUAGAACCUUACCUGGGUUUGACAUGGAUCGGGAGUGCUCAGAGAUGGGUGUGCCUCUUUUGGGGUCGGUUCACAGGUGGUGCAUGGCUGUCGUCAGCUCGUGUCGUGAGAUGUUGGGUUAAGUCCCGCAACGAGCGCAACCCUUGUUCACUGUUGCCAGCACGUUAUGGUGGGGACUCAGUGGAGACCGCCGGGGUCAACUCGGAGGAAGGUGGGGAUGACGUCAAGUCAUCAUGCCCCUUAUGUCCAGGGCUUCACGCAUGCUACAAUGGCUGGUACAGAGAGUGGCGAGCCUGUGAGGGUGAGCGAAUCUCGGAAAGCCGGUCUCAGUUCGGAUUGGGGUCUGCAACUCGACCUCAUGAAGUCGGAGUCGCUAGUAAUCGCAGAUCAGCAACGCUGCGGUGAAUACGUUCCCGGG
rnacentral:rRNA from 1 species